ACUCCUACGGGAGGCAGCAGUGGGGAAUUUUACGCAAUGGGGGAAACCCUGACGUAGCGACACCGCGUGAGCGAAGAAGCCCUUUGGGGUGUAAAGCUCUGUCAGCUGGAACGAAAACAAUGACGGUACCAGCAGAGGAAGCAUCGGCUAACUACGUGCCAGCAGCCGCGGUAAGACGUAGGAUGCGAGCGUUGUCCGGAUUUAUUGGGCGUAAAGAGUUCGUAGGUGGUUUGUUAAGUUUGGUGUUAAAGAUCGGGGCUCAACCCUGGGACUGCACUGAAUACUGGCAGACUCGAGUGUGGUAGAGGCUAGUGGAAUUCCCAGUGUAGCGGUGAAAUGCGUAGAUAUUGGGAAGAACACCGGUGGCGUAGGCGACUAGCUGGGCCAUAACUGACGCUGAGGAACGAAAGCCAGGGGAGCGAAUGGGAUUAGAAACCCUGGUAGUCC
rnacentral:rRNA from 1 species